CUUUUUGCCAUUUCUAGGGCUGCUCCCACGGCCUAUGGAGGUUCCCAGGCUAGGGGUCCAAUCGGAGCUGUAGCCGCCCGUCUACACCACAGCCACAGCAACACAGGAUCCGAGCUGCAUCUGCGACUUACACCACAGCUCACCGCAACGCCGGAUCCCUAACCCACUGAGCGAGGCCAGGGAUCGAACCCGAAACCUCAUGGUUCCUAGUCGGAUUCGUUAACCACUGCGCCACGAGGGGAAUUCCCCCCAGUUCCAUUUUCUGUUCUUUGGUAACCUCUUUCAGCAUUUGAAAUCCUAGGAGAGGGAGUAUGGUCAUCCACGACUAGGUCACAUGCCUGGGCUGAACUCAGGUGGUGACAGGAAGGAUAAGGUAGGAGGAAAGACAUUUUGGUUUCCAAAGCAAGAGGACAGGGUACGUGCUCCCAUAAAGUCAAGUUUGCACUCAUCUGGGGAGGCAUAUUCUCCCAAAAGGAAAUGGGGUCCUCUUAUUUUUGAGGAAAAGAUGCUGGAUUUAAAAAUUACAAAGGAAGUUCCCCAUUGCGGCACAGCGGAAACGAAUCUGACUAGUACCCCUAAGGACGCAGGUUUGAUCCCUGGCCUUGCUCAGUGGGUUAAGGAUCUAGCACUGCCAUGAGUUGUCGCAUAGGUCGCAGACAUGGCUUGGAUCUGGCAUUGCUGUGGCUGUGGUAUAGGCUGGCAGCUGCAGCUCAAAUUUGACCCCUAGCCUGGGGACUUCCAUAUGCCUCAGGUUAUUCAAAUGAAAAGGAUAAAUUAAACAAAUUUACCAGAAAAGCAAGAAAGAUGGAAAAUAAGUGAAAGAUUUCAAGUCAAGAAGGUAGAAGGAGAACAUGAAAAUAAGCUCAAAGUAUGAGAAAUUACUAAAGAUUAAAGUAGACAUUCAUCAUCAAAUAGAAAAAAAAAUUGACUAGUAAAAAUAAUAAAUCCAGUUCUUUGACUAGUCCAAUUAAAUAGACCAAUCUUUGGCAAGUAGGAAGAAUAAAAUGGGGAGGAGUUCCCUGGUGGCUCACUGGGUUGAGGAUGCAGUGUUGUCACCGCUGUGGCUCGAGUUCAUUCCUUGGCCUGGGAACUUCUGCCUGUGGAGGGCAUGGCCCAAAAAGGGCAGGGAAGAACAGGGAGAGAGAGAGAGAGACAGAAGAGAAAGAAAAUACAAAUUCACAACAUUAGGAGUCAUAACUACAGCUCUGGAGACUUUAACAAAUGAUAAAAGUAUAAAAUAUUGCGACUUGCCAUGUAAAUUGAAGAGCCACGUGAAAUAGAUAUCUUAGUAGAUAAAUGUCAGUUACCAAAAAUUGACACAAGAGGUAGACACUCCAAUGGGCAAUUCUAGUAGAAAGUGGAAAGGUAUUUGAGGAACUCUCCACCAAGUGGCAUCAGGGCUGGAGGGUUUUACAGGUGAAUUCCACCAAAACUGCAUGGAAAAUCCCUAUGACCUCUAACUUUUCCAGAGAACAGAAAAAUUUCCAACUUAUUUCCCAAAGCCAGCAUAACCCUGACGACACAUCAAAGCAAACAAACAGAAAAAGACAAAGCCCUUCCAAAGAAAUUUAAGGGCCACUCCUCUUUUCUAAUUUCGAUGUGAAAGUUCUAAAUGAAAUGUGAGCACACCAACCAAGAAUUAUAUCAAAAGAAUAAUUCAUGAUGGCUAAGAAGGGUUAAUCCCAAGCAUUCAGAGACGUAAAACUGGAAACAAUUCAGGGCAUCUACAUGUGAAGAAAGUAAGGCAUUAAUUAGGAUAAUUUCAGUAGGGGCCAUGGCAUAUGAAUCUCUUUUCUAUGUCUGCGAAAUCCCUCAGCCUUGAAAUCUUUGGAGAAGCAGAACCUGCCUCCUCUUCCAGAAGCUGAAAAUGCCCAUACUUGCUUUCCCAGACUCCCUUGCAGCUGAGUCACAGGUAUAAGACCAAUUGGACUCAUAUCCCGACCUUGAAUCAGGAGCUAGUAUCCCAAAGAGGAAGGGAUUGAUCCAGGAUUUCUCUCUCUGCAGCUGGGAGGUUGCGGUAACACUGAGUUGCUGGCACAGCAGCUGGAGUGGUGCAAGCUUCAGUGACCCGGUCUCAGAGUGUUGCUCACCGGACUUGUUCUGCAGGCUGGUACUGGGCACUCUUCCUAACUACACAGUCCCAAGUCUGGUUCUUGCCUUCACUGACAAGUCUGUGAAGUAGCCAAUGCAUUUUCAAGGAAUUCCUUUUCAGCCUAAAUUAGGCAGAAAUUUUCUGUUGCUUACAACUAAAAUAUCCUAACUGAUGCCAAAGCAGCAAAAACCCCAAUAGCCUGAGGGGCCUCCCUCCACAUCCUGGCCUCUCUCUACGCAACUCUCACUUCACUUCUUGCUGCUUAGAGUCUCACUUUCUCUGUGUUCUCAAGUACUUUCUGCAGCUGGCAAAUUCGAUAAACGGCAAGUCUACGGAUGAACCGCAUCUGGCUCAAGUGUUCACCCCUUGUCCUGUCACCAGCCAGCAGAUGGGGACAGGCUCACAUGGCUACAUGAUGCCCCUUCUGGGGGACAGUCGACAGGACAUUUUCAUCACUGGAAGGGGCCACGGACGGCAGACAUGGUGUCUCACUCCCCGCCCCACCACCACCCUGGUUUUGGCUGCACCCACGGCAUGUGGAAGUUCCUAGGUCAGGGAUCAAAUCCAAGCUGUGCCUGCGACCUGUGCCACAGAUGUAGUAACACUGGAUCCUUAACCCACUGGGCCAGGCCAGGAUCAAACUGGCGGUGCUGCAGAGACAAGCCAGACCCUUAACCUGCUGUACCACAGAGGGAACUCCAGGUGGCUGACUUUCUGAAACAGGCACCUAACAUGGUUUUGGGAAAUCCUAAAAAGGUUUUCCAGAGGAAGACAUUCGGGGCUGCCAUUUUCCAGAUAAGUUAGAGUUAGGCAGAAGGGGAUACAGGGUGAGCAGAAGAGUCUGGGCACAAGAAAGAAAAUAAUCUAGAGUGAAGCGUGGAUUAAGAGAUGGGGCUGGACAGGUAGGCAGGGGUCAGGACUCAGUAGGACAUGUCAGGAUCUUAGGAUUGCACCUGAGAGCUACAAGAGCCAAGCAGUGCAAGGAUAUGAGCAGAUCUGCUUUUCUUUUUUUCUUUUCUUUUUUCUUUUUAGGGCUGCACCCGCAGCACUUGGAGGUUCCCAGCUAGGGGUUGAAUCAGAGCUACAGCUGCCGGCCUACACCACAGCCACAGCAACGCAGGAU
rnacentral:tRNA from 1 species